CCUACGGGAGGCUGCAGUGGGGAAUAUUGGACAAUGGGCGAAAGCCUGAUCCAGCCAUGCCGCGUGUGUGAAGAAGGCCUUCGGGUUGUAAAGCACUUUCAGUGGGGAAGAAAGCCUUGGGGCUAAUACCCUCGAGGAAGGACAUCACCCACAGAAGAAGCACCGGCUAACUCCGUGCCAGCAGCCGCGGUAAUACGGAGGGUGCGAGCGUUAAUCGGAAUUACUGGGCGUAAAGCGCGCGUAGGCGGUCUGAUAAGCCGGUUGUGAAAGCCCCGGGCUCAACCUGGGAACGGCAUCCGGAACUGUCAGGCUAGAGUGCAGGAGAGGAAGGUAGAAUUCCCGGUGUAGUGGUGAAAUGCGUAGAGAUCGGGAGGAAUACCAGUGGCGAAGGCGGUCUUCUGGACUGACACUGACGCUGAGGUGCGAAAGCGUGGGUAGCAAACAGGAUUAGAUACCCUGGUAGUC
rnacentral:rRNA from 1 species